GAUGAAGAACGCAGCGAAAUGCGAUAAGUAAUGCGAAUUGCAGAAUUUCCGUGAGUCAUCGAAUCUUUGAACGCACAUUGCGCCCCUUGGUAUUCCGAGGGGCAUGCCUGUUCGAGCGUCAUUAUAACCCCUCAAGCUCAGCUUGGUGUUGGGGCCUGCCGCACGGGCAGCCCUUAAAAUCAGUGGCGGUGCCAUCUGGCUCUAAGCGUAGUAAUUCUUCUCGCUAUAGAGUCCCGGUGGAUGCUUGCCAUUAACCCCCAAUUUUCUAUGGUUGACCUCGGAUCAGGUAGGGAUACCCGCUGAACUUAAGCAUAUCAAUAAGCGGAGGA
rnacentral:misc_RNA from 1 species